CCCUAUGGGGUGAACGGAGAAGGCUAUGUUCGGUUCUCGUUGACGGUCAAUGAGGAUCGGUUGGAGCAGGCGCUUCAGCGGAUGUGCGAUAAUCUGCCUGGGUUUGAGUUUGAAUGACGGCGGCGGACGGGCGUUUGACCGUCCUACAGCGAGUCACGAAUAGAGGUGUUCCAUGAGCGCGUUUGGUAUUGAUAUCGAGAAGUCCUCCGUGUGCCUGUUGCGUGGCGGCCAGACCAAGGAAGCCGCGCUGAACACGUUGGUCGAUGCAUUGGCGGCCAGCGGCGCCAGUUCGGAUUUGGAGAGCGUCCGCAGUGCGGUUCAUGCGCGGGAGAACCGUAUCAGUACGGGAAUUGGCGGGGGGGC
rnacentral:rRNA from 1 species